AUGUAGCUCAGUGGUAGAGCACUUGCCUAACAUGUAUAGGACCUUGGGUUUAAUCCCCAGCAU
rnacentral:tRNA from 1 species